rnacentral:rRNA from 1 species
AUUGAACGCUGGCGGCAGGCCUAACACAUGCAAGUCGAGCGGUAGAGAGAAGCUUGCUUUUCUUGAGAGCGGCGGACGGGUGAGUAAUGCCUAGGAAUCUGCCUGGUAGUGGGGGAUAACGUUCGGAAACGGACGCUAAUACCGCAUACGUCCUACGGGAGAAAGCAGGGGACCUUCGGGCCUUGCGCUAUCAGAUGAGCCUAGGUCGGAUUAGCUAGUUGGUGAGGUAAUGGCUCACCAAGGCGACGAUCCGUAACUGGUCUGAGAGGAUGAUCAGUCACACUGGAACUGAGACACGGUCCAGACUCCUACGGGAGGCAGCAGUGGGGAAUAUUGGACAAUGGGCGAAAGCCUGAUCCAGCCAUGCCGCGUGUGUGAAGAAGGUCUUCGGAUUGUAAAGCACUUUAAGUUGGGAGGAAGGGCAGUAAAUUAAUACUUUGCUGUUUUGACGUUACCGACAGAAUAAGCACCGGCUAACUCUGUGCCAGCAGCCGCGGUAAUACAGAGGGUGCAAGCGUUAAUCGGAAUUACUGGGCGUAAAGCGCGCGUAGGUGGUUUGUUAAGUUGGAUGUGAAAUCCCCGGGCUCAACCUGGGAACUGCAUUCAAAACUGACUGACUAGAGUAUGGUAGAGGGUGGUGGAAUUUCCUGUGUAGCGGUGAAAUGCGUAGAUAUAGGAAGGAACACCAGUGGCGAAGGCGACCACCUGGACUAAUACUGACACUGGGGUGCGAAAGCGUGGGGAGCAAACAGGAUUAGAUACCCUGGUAGUCCACGCCGUAAACGAUGUCAACUAGCCGUUGGAAGCCUUGAGCUUUUAGUGGCGCAGCUAACGCAUUAAGUUGACCGCCUGGGGAGUACGGCCGCAAGGUUAAAACUCAAAUGAAUUGACGGGGGCCCGCACAAGCGGUGGAGCAUGUGGUUUAAUUCGAAGCAACGCGAAGAACCUUACCAGGCCUUGACAUCCAAUGAACUUUCUAGAGAUAGAUUGGUGCCUUCGGGAACAUUGAGACAGGUGCUGCAUGGCUGUCGUCAGCUCGUGUCGUGAGAUGUUGGGUUAAGUCCCGUAACGAGCGCAACCCUUGUCCUUAGUUACCAGCACGUCAUGGUGGGCACUCUAAGGAGACUGCCGGUGACAAACCGGAGGAAGGUGGGGAUGACGUCAAGCCAUCAUGGCCCUUACGGCCUGGGCUACACACGUGCUACAAUGGUCGGUACAGAGGGUUGCCAAGCCGCGAGGUGGAGCUAAUCCCACAAAACCGAUCGUAGUCCGGAUCGCAGUCUGCAACUCGACUGCGUGAAGUCGGAAUCGCUAGUAAUCGCGAAUCAGAAUGUCGCGGUGAAUGCGUUCCCGGGCCU